rnacentral:rRNA from 1 species
GACGAACGCUGGCGGCGUGCUUAACACAUGCAAGUCGAACGGAAAGGCCCUUCGGGGUACUCGAGUGGCGAACGGGUGAGUAACACGUGGGUGAUCUGCCCUGCACUUUGGGAUAAGCCUGGGAAACUGGGACUAAUACCGAAUAGGACCACGCGCUUCAUGGUGUGUGGUGGAAAGCUUUUGCGGUGUGGGAUGGGCCCGCGGCCUAUCAGCUUGUUGGUGGGGUAAUGGCCUACCAAGGCGACGACGGGUAGCCGGCCUGAGAGGGUGACCGGCCACACUGGGACUGAGAUACGGCCCAGACUCCUACGGGAGGCAGCAGUGGGGAAUAUUGCACAAUGGGCGCAAGCCUGAUGCAGCGACGCCGCGUGAGGGAUGACGGCCUUCGGGUUGUAAACCGCUUUCAAUAGGGACGAAGCGCGAGUGACGGUACCUAUAGAAGAAGCACCGGCCAACUACGUG